AACCUAACCUAACAAAAUCUUUACGUAAACAGAGGAACUUGAAUCUACGAGCACCCAAAGCGAUCGUAAAACUUCUAUUCUUACGUAAUGACAGAAAAAUUAGCCUAGUUUACGUUAUAUGAGAAAAAUUAGUAUAGUUUUCGUAGUGACUGAAGUGAAUUAAGCUAACCAACAUCACUAGCCUAACGUAACCUAACCAAAUCUUUACGUAAACAGAGGAACUUGAAUCUACGAGCACCCAAAGCGAUCGUACAACCUUCCAUUCUCUCGUAACAAUGGAAAAAUUAGCCUAGUGUACAUAAUAGAAAAAAAAUUACCAUAGAUUUCGUAGUGAUUGAAGUGAAUUAAGCUAACCGACAUCACUAGCCUAACAUAACCUAACCAAAUCUUUACGUAAACAGAGAAAGUCGACUUUACGAACACCCGAAAGCAACCAAAAGCCUCUAUUCACAAGGGACGGGUUUCAAUUUCAGACCGUGAAUUUAGCUUUCGUAAUGAUAGAAAAAUUAGAAUAAAUUUCGUAAUGAGAAAUAUUUGUAUAGUUUUCGUAAUAUGAGAAAAUUCAGCAAAGUUUUCGUAGUGACUGAAGUGAAUUAAGCUGACCGACAUCACUAGCCUAACCUAACCUAACCAAAUCUUUACGUAAACAGAGGAACUUGAAUCUACGAGCACCCAAAGCGAUCGUACAACCUUCCAUUCUCUCGUAACAAUGGAGAAAUUAGCCUAGUUUACAUUGUAUGAGAAAAAUUAGUAUAGUUUUCGUAGUGACUGAAGUGAAUUAAGCUGACUGACAACACUAGCCUAACAUAACCUAUCCAAAUCUUUACGUAAACAGAGGAACUUGAAUCUACAAGCACCCAAAGCGAUCGUAAAACUUCUAUUCUUACGUAAUGAUAGAAAAAUUAGCCUAGUUUACGUAAUAGAAGAAAAAUUACCAUAGAUUUCGUAGUGACUGAAGUGAAUUAAGCUAACCGACAUCACUAGCCUAACGUAACCUAUCCAAAUCUUUACGUAAACAGAGAAAGUCGACUUUACGAGCACACCCGAAAGCAACCAUAAAGCCUCUAUUCACAAGGGACGGGUUUCAAUUUCGGACCGUGAAUUUAGCUUUCGUAAUGAUAGAAAAAUUAGAAUAAAUUUCGUAAUGAGAAAUAUUUGUAUAGUUUUCGUAAUAUGAGAAAAUUCAGCAAAGUUUUCGUAGUGACUGAAGUGAAUUAAGCUAACCGACAACACUAGCCUAACCUAACCUAUCCAAAUCUUUACGUAAACAGAGGAACUUGAAUCUACAAGCACCCAAAGCGAUCGUAAAACUUCUAUUCUUACGUAAUGAUAGGAAAAUUAGCCUAGUUCACGUAAUAGAAGAAAAAUUACCAUAGUUUUCGUAGUGACUGAAGUGAAUUAAGCUAACUGACAACACUAGCCUAACAUAACCUAUCCAAAUCUUUACGUAAACAGAGAAAGUCGACUUUACGAGCACACCCGAAAGCAACCAUAAAGCCUCUAUGCUCAAGGGACGGUUUACGAUUUCUGACUGAAAAUUUAGCUUUCGUAAUGAAAGAAAAAUUAAAAUAGGUAUCAUAAUGAGAAAAAAUUGUGGUUUUUGUAAUAUGAGAAAAUUCGGCAAAGUUUUCGUAGUGACUGAAGUGAAUUAAGCUAUCUGACACCACUAGCCUUACCUAACCUAACCAAAUCUUUACGUAAUCACAGAAAAUCGAGAUUACAAGCGCCCAAAGCGAUCUUAAAACCUCUAUUCCUACAUAAUGAUAGAAAAAUUAGCCUAGUUUACAUAUUAGUAGAAAAAUUACCAUAGAUUUCUUAAUGACAAGUGAAUUAACCAAAACCGACAUCACUAGCCUAACCUAACCUAACCAAAUCUUUACGUAAACAGAAAAUUGAAUCUACAAGCACCCAAAGCGAUCUUAAAACCUCUAUUGUUACGUAAUGACAGGAAAAUCAGCCUAGUUUACUUAAUAGAAGAAAAAUUACCAUAGAUUUCGUAGUGACAAGUGAAUUAACCAAAACUGACAUCACUAGCCUAACCUAACCUAACCAAAUCUUUACAUAAUCACAGAAAAUCAAAUCUACAAGCACCCAAAGCGAUCUUAAAAACUCUAUUCUAACGUAAUGACAGGAAAAUCAGCCUAGUUUACUUAAUAGAAGAAAAAUUACCAUAGAUUUCGUAGUGACAAGUGAAUUAACCAAAACCGACAUCACUAGCCUAACCUAACCUAACCAAAUCUUUACGUAAACAGAGGAACUUGAAUCUACGAGCGCCCACAGCAACCGUAACUCUUAUAUAGGGUGCGGGAGGGACUUAGAAUGGACAGCAAGGGGAAGGGGGAGGGAGGGGGCACAUAUAUAAACAAAAAUAAAUAAAUAGAUAAAUAUAUAUAUAUGUAUUUAUAGUAAGCGUGAAGCCUCGAACACUACGGACAGACAGACAAGCGAACGGCAGCCACACACACAGACCAAAGCAAAUAACAACAAUAACAAUGACGUUUUAUAAUCAUCAUCCCUCACAAUAAUAAUAAUAAAAAUAAUGACAGUAUAGCCCCAUGUUGUCAUCAUAAUAAUAAUAAUAAUAAUAAUAAUAAUAAUAGUAAUAGUAGACCACAGCAUCAGCGUCAACAUCAGCGACAGCGACAGUAGUAGUAGUAGUAGUAGUAGUAGUAGUGGUAGGGUGUGUGUGAGUUUGUACGUGCGUGACCUACCCCAGCCUCCACUCGUAACCUAUUCCUAAGUUCAAACUCGUAAUGUAACAAUGAUAUACGUAGUGAGGUCAUCUUUUAUUUCUCCUCCUCUCUUAAUACGUAAUGAGGUCAUCUGUUAUUUCUCCCCCUCUCUUAAUACAUAGUGAGGUCAUCUGUUAUUUCUCCGUCUCUCUUAAUAUGUACUGAGGUCAUCUAUGUUUUGUCCCCCUCUCUUAAUACAUAGUGAGGUCAUCUGUUAUUUCUCCCUCUCUCUUAAUAUGUACUGAGGUCAUCUAUGUUUUCUCCCCCUCUCUUAAUACAUAGUGAGGUCAUCUGUUAUUUCUCCCCCUCUCUUAAUAUGUACUAAGGUCAUCUAUGUUUUCUCCCCCUCUCUUAAUACGUAGUGAGGUCAUCUGUUAUUUCUCCUCCUCUCUUAAUACAUAGUGAGGUCAUCUGUUAUUUCUCCCCCUCUCUUAAUAUGUACUAAGGUCAUCUAUGUUUUCUCCCCCUCUCUUAACCCUGUCAUGGCUAAACGCUGGAAGAGGGCGUUAGGCGUAUUUGCUGGUGGUGCUAAACGCUCGCUGUGACCUCCACCCGCACUCAAAUCUCCCGCGUAUGAGUGUGUUUCGACGCUAAUUCUCACAACACAGGAUUGCCAAUUGAGUGCGUUCUUCACUAAACUUGGUGGGAAAUCGUAUCAGCCCAGCGCGGCAAAUCUACGGACGAGUUACCAGUGGAUGUUCUUGCCCAAUACAGCGUCAUUUUUGCAUAGCUUCACCGAUCACCUGACUGAUUCUUUGACCAAAUAGUUGUAAAUAUUGCAGUUGGUAACACUCCCUUGCCAGAGUCUGAAGGAGAGAUGUCCACAGUUCCCUCAAUACGGCUGAUCAUCCCACACGCACCGACGUAAGUGUUAACAUUCAACACUCCCUGAACAUGCCUGUACGUUCACAAGAGAGGCAUACAUGACCGACUCCUAUAGAUCUGGACCUCCUCUUUCCAAUGGUGUUUUUGGUUUUUAGCUGUGAUGAAUAGUUUUUGAGAUACAGAGGUUAAAACAGACCCCCCAUUGGCCUGACUGACCGCGCCUGAGGGGAUGGUCUCGUCCACACCGCGCGCAAGGAAAGGGUCGAUACGUAGUGAGGUCUUCAAUGUUAUUUCUCCCCUUCUAAGUCCAUUCUGGAAGGUCAGAGGUCAAAGGUCGAGAGAGUGACCCUAGAGUGUGAGGUCAUGUUACCUGAGCUGACUAACGACGGAAUUGAGUAUGUUUCUCUCUCUCUCUCUCUCUCUCUCUCUCUCU